rnacentral:rRNA from 1 species
UACGUGGGGUGCAAGCGUUGUUCGGAAUUACUGGGCGUAAAGGGCUCGUAGGCGGCCAACUAAGUCGGACGUGAAAUCCCCCAGGCUUAACCUGGGAACUGCAUCCGAUACUGGAUGGCUUGAAUCCGGGAGAGGGAUGCAGAAUUCCAGGUGUAGCGGUGAAAUGCGUAGAUAUCGUGAGGAAUACCGGUGGCGAAGGCGGCAUCCUGGACCGGCAUUGACGCUGAGUGAGCGAAAGCCAGGGGAGCAAACGGG